rnacentral:tRNA from 1 species
GAUUGCGUAGCUCAGCCGGUAGAGCAACUGACUUUUAAUCAGUAGGUCGUGGGUUCGACCCCCACCGCAAUCACCA